rnacentral:rRNA from 1 species
UAAGGAAUAUUGGUCAAUGGACGCAAGUCUGAACCAGCCAUGCCGCGUGAAGGAUGAAGGUCCUCUGGAUUGUAAACUUCUUUUAUCUGGGACGAAAACGGGAUUUUUAUCUCAAUUGACGGUACCAGAGGAAUAAGCACCGGCUAACUCCGUGCCAGCAGCCGCGGUAAUACGGAGGGUGCGAGCGUUAUCCGGAUUUACUGGGUUUAAAGGGUGCGUAGGUGGGCUUAUAAGUCAGUGGUGAAAUCUCCGAGCUUAACUUGGAAACUGCCGUUGAUACUAUAGGUCUUGAAUUAUCUGGAGGUAAGCGGAAUAUGUCAUGUAGCGGUGAAAUGCUUAGAUAUGACAUAGAACACCAAUUGCGAAGGCAGCUUGCUACAUAUAAAUUGACGCUGAGGCACGAAAGCGUGGGGAUCAAA